rnacentral:rRNA from 1 species
GAUGAACGCUGGCGGCGUGCCUAAUACAUGCAAGUCGAGCGAAUGGAUUAAGAGCUUGCUCUUAUGAAGUUAGCGGCGGACGGGUGAGUAACACGUGGGUAACCUGCCCAUAAGACUGGGAUAACUCCGGGAAACCGGGGCUAAUACCGGAUAACAUUUUGAACCGCAUGGUUCGAAAUUGAAAGGCGGCUUCGGCUGUCACUUAUGGAUGGACCCGCGUCGCAUUAGCUAGUUGGUGAGGUAACGGCUCACCAAGGCAACGAUGCGUAGCCGACCUGAGAGGGUGAUCGGCCACACUGGGACUGGGACACGGCCCAGCCUCCGACGGGAGGUAGCAGUAGGGAAUCUUCCGCAAUGGACGAAAGUCUGACGGAGCAACGCCGCGUGAGUGAUGAAGGCUUUCGGGUCGUAAAACGCUGUUGUUAGGGAAGAACAAGUGCUAGUUGAAUAAGCUGGCACCUUGACGGUACCUAACCAGAAAGCCACGGCUAACUACGUGCCAGCCGCCGCGGUAA